CCAUUGUCUGCCUAAAAAACAUUUUAUGCUCAAAGAAAUGUUAGUUCUCUGAAAAUGUGGUAAAAAAUAACAUUAAACCACUUCAAUGUAUGAAUCCACAGUGACAGCAGAACAGCAUUUAAUGGAGGGACCCUACCCAGAGAAGUGCCUGGCAGUUUACCAUGAAUCAUUAUCAAGAAUAAUAUGUGAAAGAAUUGGCAGUGUCCAGCUGAAUUACAAAAAGCCUGAAACUUUGGUACAAUCGGUUUUCUUUAGAUUGUCAGUAAAUGGGAGUUUCAAAAGCAGGAUCACAGAGAGAAGUAUCUGGGUGGCACUGCAAUAAAUGUACAUGAUCAAGAGCAUAUACCAGAAGAGUCCGUGUGUCUCAUUCUAAGAAA